rnacentral:rRNA from 1 species
AUUGAACGCUGGCGGCAGGCCUAACACAUGCAAGUCGAGCGGAUGCAGGGGGCUUGCUCCUGGAUUCAGCGGCGGACGGGUGAGUAAUGCCUAGGAAUCUGCCUGGUAGUGGGGGAUAACGUCCGGAAACGGGCGCUAAUACCGCAUACGUCCUGAGGGAGAAAGUGGGGGAUCUUCGGACCUCACGCUAUCAGAUGAGCCUAGGUCGGAUUAGCUAGUUGGUGGGGUAAAGGCCUACCAAGGCGACGAUCCGUAACUGGUCUGAGAGGAUGAUCAGUCAACAUGGAACUGAGAACAGGUCCAGAAUCCGAAGGGAGGGAGCAGUGGGGAAUAUUGGACAAUGGGCGAAAGGCUUAUCCAGGCAUGUCGGGUGUGUGAAGAAGGGCUUCGGAUUGGAAAGCUCUUUAAGUUGGGAGGAAGGGCAGUAAGUUUAAAACCUGCUGUUUUGACGUUACCAAAAGAAUAAGCACCGGCUAACUUCGUG